CUUCCUUCGGGAAGUGGAUUAGCGGCGGACGGGUGAGUAACACGUGGGUAACCUGCCUCAAAGUGGGGGAUAGCCUUCCGAAAGGAAGAUUAAUACCGCAUAACAUAAGAGAAUCGCAUGAUUUUCUUAUCAAAGAUUUAUUGCUUUGAGAUGGACCCGCGGCGCAUUAGCUAGUUGGUAAGGUAACGGCUUACCAAGGCAACGAUGCGUAGCCGACCUGAGAGGGUGAUCGGCCACAUUGGAACUGAGACACGGUCCAGACUCCUACGGGAGGCAGCAGUGGGGAAUAUUGCGCAAUGGGGGAAACCCUGACGCAGCAACGCCGCGUGGGUGAUGAAGGUCUUCGGAUUGUAAAGCCCUGUUUUCUGGGACGAUAAUGACGGUACCAGAGGAGGAAGCCACGGCUAACUACGUGCCAGCAGCCGCGGUAAUACGUAGGUGGCGAGCGUUGUCCGGAUUUACUGGGCGUAAAGGGUGCGUAGGCGGAUGUUUAAGUGGGAUGUGAAAUCCCCGGGCUUAACCUGGGGGCUGCAUUCCAAACUGGAUAUCUAGAGUGCAGGAGAGGAAAGCGGAAUUCCUAGUGUAGCGGUGAAAUGCGUAGAGAUUAGGAAGAACACCAGUGGCGAAGGCGGCUUUCUGGACUGUAACUGACGCUGAGGCACGAAAGCGUGGGUAGCAAACAGGAUUAGAUACCCUGGUAGUCCACGCCGU
rnacentral:rRNA from 1 species